rnacentral:rRNA from 1 species
AUUGAACGCUGGCGGCAGGCCUAACACAUGCAAGUCGAGCGGAUGAAGGGAGCUUGCUCCUGGAUUCAGCGGCGGACGGGUGAGUAAUGCCUAGGAAUCUGCCUGGUAGUGGGGGAUAACGUCCGGAAACGGGCGCUAAUACCGCAUACGUCCUGAGGGAGAAAGUGGGGGAUCUUCGGACCUCACGCUAUCAGAUGAGCCUAGGUCGGAUUAGCUAGUUGGUGGGGUAAAGGCCUACCAAGGCGACGAUCCGUAACUGGUCUGAGAGGAUGAUCAGUCACACUGGAACUGAGACACAGUCCAGACUCCUACGGGAGGCAGCAGUGGGGAAUAUUGGACAAUGGGCGAAAGCCUGAUCCAGCUAUGCCGCGUGUGUGAAGAAGGUCUUCGGAUUGUAAAGCACUUUAAGUUGGGAGGAAGGGCAGUAAGUUAAUACCUUGCUGUUUUGACGUUACCAACAGAAUAAGCACCGGCUAACUUCGUG